rnacentral:rRNA from 1 species
GACGAACGCUGGCGGCGUGCUUAACACAUGCAAGUCGAACGGAAAGGCCUGCAGCUUGCUGCGGGUACUCGAGUGGCGAACGGGUGAGUAACACGUGGGUGAUCUGCCUUGCACUUCGGGAUAAGCUUGGGAAACUGGGUCUAAUACCGGAUAGGACAGCUGUUUAGUGUCAGUUGUGGAAAGUUUUUUCGGUGCAAGAUGAGCUCGCGGCCUAUCAGCUUGUUGGUGGAGUAAUGGCCUACCAAGGCGUCGACGGGUAGCCGGCCUGAGAGGGUGUACGGCCACAUUGGGACUGAGAUACGGCCCAGACGCCUACGGGAGGCAGCAGUGGGGAAUAUUGCACAAUGGGCGGAAGCCUGAUGCAGCGACGCCGCGUGGGGGAUGAAGGCCUUCGGGUUGUAAACACCUUUCGACAGGGACGAAGCUUUUGUGACGGUACCUGUAUAAGAAGCACCGGCUAACUACGUG